UCCUCCAUUGAAUAUCAUCAAAGUAUCGAUUUGUAACCGAUGUUUGUUUCUUAUUUAUAAUAUCGUUCAAAAACAAUCAGAGGUGUGUGAGAAGAAAAUCAUGGUGAUCAGAAUGCACACAGCGGAAGUGACGAUGGGCAAAGGAGAACAUCCAAAAGGAAAGAGAUUUGGCUCGUGAAACUCGAAGAGCUUUUCAGUUCAUCCGUGAUUGCGCUUCCGACAGCAACAACAUCCAACGGUUUUUUUAAUUUCUUCUCGGGAGAUCACUGUUACUAGCUUUCGUGGCUGGCGAACACAAAUGACCGUAUUUGAAAGGUUGGCGAUCGGCUGGCGACCAUAUUCUUUAGGGGAAAAGGAGUAGGGGAAAAACGGGGAAGAUGUACAGUACUUUUUGACGGCACAGUAAAAUUUUUCAUAUUUUAAUCGAUUA